UCCUCCUCCUCCUCCUCGGCAACAGUUGGCCGCGCCCUGCGGCAUCCUCCUGCCCGGCGCGGCCCCCGGGAGCGGCACAACGCGGGGGUGCCUUAGCAUCACAAGAAGCAGUUACAUGCCUGCACUCAGUUGUCUGACGGGUCGUGCCAUGGACCACCCACUAAGAGUCUGUUGAACCAGCCCAGAGGUACUCAAGCACCAUGGACCUGAUGCAUGGUUCAGUACUGCAUGGUUCCCAAACUUACACGGAACUUAGCCAGUUGGAGAGAGGAGGAAGAGGAGGAAUAGUCCAGACUCGUUACAUCUCAUUGCAUCUCUGCAUGCUGACUUGAUAACUAGCAGAUAUAGCAUAUACACCAAACACAAAAUUUAAGUGGUAAAUGUGGGGUUUCUAUCAUACUGCAUGUGAUUAUCAUUGGAAGGGCAUUUUUCAGAAAAUAUUCUUCUAGUUUUGAUGGAUAUGUGUGGAUGAUUUGUAUAGUGUACUAUAGAAAUAGUUGACAGCAUCUAUAUGUUAACAUUUCUGUAGCAGCAUGGCUAGUAGACUGAACCAAUUAUUCCUACCAGUUAUUCCUCAGUGGGCAUAACACCUGUUGUUGUUCUGUUCCCAGCCAAUAAUCUUCCACUGCUGACCAGUCGGACUCAAUUAUAUAGAGAAUAAAUGGAAACUGGACAAUCAAAA